rnacentral:misc_RNA from 1 species
GAUGAAGAACGUAGCGAAAUGCGAUACUUGGUGUGAAUUGCAGAAUCCCGUGAACCAUCGAGUCUUUGAACGCAAGUUGCGCCCGAAGCCAUUAGGCCGAGGGCACGCCUGCCUGGGUGUCACACGUCGUUGCCCCCCCAUCUACUCCUUCGGGAUUGCGGGGGGCGGAUGAUGGCCUCCCGUGCGCCUCGUCGCGCGGUUGGCAUAAAUGCCAAGUCCUCGGCGACGCACGCCACGACAAUCGGUGGUUGCGAAACCUCGGUUGCCCGUCGUGUGCGUUCGUCGCGCAUCGAGGGCUCGAAAAAAUGCUCGGCUCCGGCUGGGCUUUCAACGCGACCCCAGGUCAGGCGGGGUUACCCGCUGAAUUUAAGCAUAUCAAUAAGCGGAGGA